rnacentral:rRNA from 1 species
UGGGGAAUUUUGGACAAUGGGCGAAAGCCUGGUCCAGCAAUGCCGCGUGUGUGAAGAAGGCAUUCGGGUUGUAAAGCACUUUUGUCCGGAAAGAAAUCCUUGGCUCUAAUACAGUCGGGGGAUGACGGUACCGGAAGAAUAAGCACCGGCUAACUACGUGCCAGCAGCCGCGGUAAUACGUAGGGUGCAAGCGUUAAUCGGAAUUACUGGGCGUAAAGCGUGCGCAGGCGGUUUGCUAAGACCGAUGUGAAAUCCCCGGGCUCAACCUGGGAACUGCAUUGGUGACUGGCAGGCUAGAGUAUGGCAGAGGGGGGUAGAAUUCCACGUGUAGCAGUGAAAUGCGUAGAGAUGUGGAGGAAUACCGAUGGCGAAGGCAGCCCCCUGGGCCAAUACUGACGCUCAUGCACGAAAGCGUGGGGAGCAAACAGGAUUAGAUACCCUGGUAGUCCACGCCCUAAACGAUGUCAACUAGUUGUUGGGGAUUCAUUCCUUAGUAACGUAGCUAACGCGUGAAGUUGACCGCCU